UACGAGGGGGGCGAGCGUUGUUCGGAAUUAUUGGGCGUAAAGGGUGCGUAGGCGGUUCCGCAAGUCCUGUGUGAAAUCUUCGGGCUCAACUCGAAGUCUGCACGGGAAACUGCGGGGCUUGAGUGUGGGAGAGGUGAGUGGAAUUCCCGGUGUAGCGGUGAAAUGCGUAGAUAUCGGAAGGAACACCUGUGGCGAAAGCGGCUCACUGGACCAUUACUGACGCUGAGGCACGAAAGCUAGGGGAGCAAACAGG
rnacentral:rRNA from 1 species